UACGAAGGGGGCUAGCGUUGCUCGGAAUCACUGGGCGUAAAGGGUGCGUAGGCGGGUCUUUAAGUCAGGGGUGAAAUCCUGGAGCCCAACUCCAGAACUGCCUUUGAUACUGAAGAUCUUGAGUUCGGGAGAGGUGAGUGGAACUGCGAGUGUAGAGGUGAAAUUCGUAGAUAUUCGCAAGAACACCAGUGGCGAAGGCGGCUCACUGGCCCGAUACUGACGCUGAGGCACGAAAGCGUGGGGAGCAAACAGGG
rnacentral:rRNA from 1 species